rnacentral:rRNA from 1 species
UACGAAGGGGGCUAGCGUUGCUCGGAAUUACUGGGCGUAAAGCGCACGUAGGCGGAUCGUUAAGUCAGGGGUGAAAUCCUGGAGCUCAACUCCAGAACUGCCUUUGAUACUGGCGAUCUUGAGUUCGAGAGAGGUGAGUGGAACUGCGAGUGUAGAGGUGAAAUUCGUAGAUAUUCGCAAGAACACCAGUGGCGAAGGCGGCUCACUGGCUCGAUACUGACGCUGAGGUGCGAAAGCGUGGGGAGCAAACAGG